UGUUUAGAAAGUUAAGUUUUGAAACACAUAUGUAUACUUUAAACCCCAAAUUUCAAUAAUUUUUUGCCGUGACUUCUGAUGGGCAUAGAGGAGUCCUUCUCUACUUUAAAUUGAUUCAAGUUGGAUAAGGAUCCAAUCCAAAUUGACCCAAUCCCAUUAGGUUAAAGGCAACUGGUCUAUGUUAGCUCAAACACUUUGAUCUAAACCAAUUUAAGAA
rnacentral:lncRNA from 1 species